UACGUAUGGGGCUAGCGUUGUUCGGAAUUAUUGGGCGUAAAGGGCGUGUAGGCGGGGGGUUAAGUUGGGUGUGAAAGCCAUGGGCUCAACUCAUGAAUUGCACCCAAUACUGGCCUUCUUGAGUUCGGGAGAGGAGAGCGGAAUUCCCGGUGUAGCGGUGAAAUGCGUAGAUAUCGGGAAGAACACCAGUGGCGAAGGCGGCUCUCUGGCCUAGAACUGACGCUGAGGCGCGAAAGCGUGGGGAGCGAACGGGAUUAGAAACCCUAGUAGUCC
rnacentral:rRNA from 1 species